AUGCCACUGAAGUGCUGUUUUGAACCAAAACUACUUAAUUUUGAGUUUAAAAAAAAAGCGUGUUGGUUUUUGCGACCUAAUGCAUUUUUUCAAAAAAUGCUUCAGCAAGUGUUAAAAAGUUAACAAAUUUAAACGUAAAUUGUUAAUGAUAGUGGUUUAAGCUAUCCAGUUAUAAAAAACUGCUUCAAUUUGUAAAGAGCCAUUUUGAAAUAAUUGAUGUGACUGACAAACACGUUUUGAAGAAAAUCUUUUAUUCCGUCGAAGUUAAUCGAGUUCUCCAUUAAAUCGGUCGUUGUAUUUACGGAAGACAUCGAUUGUGUUGGUAAUGACAAAAGGACACCAAUUAGACGAUCACUUUUGAAAUUCCAAAGUGGAACUCCAGAAUCAUCAUCAAGUUGAAGGAGCCGCUUGCUACCGGAUCAUCUUCUUCAGCCACAGCCCACAGCGAACGAAAGUUGUAAAAGCAUCGUCCUCGCACCAUCUGGAAGCGGUCCUUCGCACAAUUUGGAUAAGUGAAAUAUCACGAAAAAGAUAAUCCGGACUACACUUCCGAAUUUCUAUUAUUGCGAUGAGGAAUUGCGAGAUAUUCGACCUUUUUUUCACCAUCCUGAUGGAGCUAGACCGGGCCGGACUGCACUGAAAACAUCACCCGCCGGUCAUAAAUUAUCCACUCAACCCCUCGUGAACGAGCAGCCUGGAGACAGUGAUAUUUUGGCCGUCUUCGGAUCUACAAAAUGUCUCCAAAGCAUAUGGAUAUGAAAUUACCACUUCCGCCGAUGUCCGGCACCGAGGUUAGAUUAGUUUUUCAUUUGAAUUCGGUAGGGAUCGUGGGGAGAAAUCACUUUUGUUGAUGUUUCGGCCUUGGUUUUAGCCUAAUGCUAGGUUGCAGUCCUUUAAAUUUUCCUGCUUCCGCUCAAUUCUUGUGCUCAAAUAUCAUCUAUCUAUGAAUAAAAUUUAUAUGGCAAAUACUAUACAUUAGCACAGCAAUACAAGAAAUAAAAUGAACUACAUAUU